AGAGUUUGAUCCUGGCUCAGGACGAACGCUGGCGGCAUGCCUUACACAUGCAAGUCGAGCGGCAGCGCGGGGGCAACCCUGGCGGCGAGCGGCGCACGGGUGAGUAAUGCAUCGGAACGUGUCCUCUUGUGGGGGAUAACCAGUCGAAAGACUGGCUAAUACCGCAUGAGCACGAGAGUGGAAAGCGGGGGACCGUAAGGCCUCGCGCGAGAGGAGCGGCCGAUGCCGGAUUAGCUAGUUGGUGGGGUAACGGCCCACCAAGGCGACGAUCCGUAGCUGGUUUGAGAGAACGACCAGCCACACUGGGACUGAGGCACGGCCCAGACUCCUACGGGAGGCAGCAGUGGGGAAUUUUGGACAAUGGGGGCAACCCUGAUCCAGCCAUGCCGCGUGAGUGAAGAAGGCCUUCGGGUUGUAAAGCUCUUUCGGACGGAACGAAAUCGCGCGGGCGAAUAUCCCGCGUGGAUGACGGUACCGUAAGAAGAAGCACCGGCUAACUACGUGCCAGCAGCCGCGGUAAUAC
rnacentral:rRNA from 1 species